ACGCUCGACACCUACGGGAGGCAGCAGUUGGGAAUAUUGGACAAUGGAGGAAACUCUGAUCCAGUGACGCCGCGUGAAGGAAGAAGGUCUUCGGAUUGUAAACUUAUUUUGUCAGGGAAGAAAAAUGACUGUACCUGAAGAAAAAGCACCGGCUAACUACGUGCCAGCAGCAGCGGUAAUCUGAGCGGGCGUGGCAAGGC
rnacentral:rRNA from 1 species